CUUGCCACAGCUCCCACAUCACCAGGCAAACCAGAUCAUUUUGCCAAGAGGGGAAAAUCUUCUGUCAUCAGGGCUGGCCUGGAGUCCACAAAAGGUUUCAUGGAAGCACCGCAUACGUGCCAUGCUCUUUCAAAUGAACACAGGCACAAACUGGUGGCCAGCAGGGUGAGGGAGGUGAUCCUACCAUUCUACUGUGCUGUGAGACCUCACCUGCAGUACUGUGUCCAGAUGUGGAGUCCUCAGUACAGGAGAGAUGUGGACCUGUUGGAGAGCGUCCAGAGGAGGGGCACAAAAAUGAUCCCAGGGGUGGAAAACCUCCCCUGCAAGGACAGGCUGGGAAAGCUGGGGCUGCGCAGCCUGGAGAAGAGAAGGCUGUAAGGUGACCUGACAGCGGCCUUUCAGUACCUACAGGGGAGCUACAGAAAGGACAGAUUCUUUAGCAGUUUUUGAUAAUAGAACAAGGGGAAACGGCUUAAAGCUCAAAGAGGGCAGAUUUAGGUUAGAUAUAAGGAAAAAGUAUUUUACAGUGAGAGUGGUGAGGCACUGGAACAGGUUGCCCAGAGUUAUGACUGAUGCCCCAUCCCUGGAGACUUUGAAGGCAAGGUUGACAACCUGAUCUAAUUGUGGUGUCCCUGUUCAUUGUAGGGGAGCUGAACUAGAUGGCCUUCAGAUGUCCCUUCCAACUCUAAGGAUUCUAUGAUUCUAUGAACUGGGUUUAGAAUUCUACAUUAACCUGAUGUUAACAAGAGAUAAGAAAAUACACUAAGUAGCCUCCAAAGUUGGUAAGAAAAAAUGCAGUAUGCAUAAUUAGUAAUUUACUAACUUGAGUAGAUGCACCUAAAUACCACAAAUGGAAUUAUCAACUGAAAUACAUUUAUUACAGUAUUGCAUUAUUUUCUACCAGUGUUUUCUUCCAAACUAUUUGGGACUUUGUGCAGAACUUUGGGUCACUUUAGUAUUUCCUGGUCUUCUGGAUUUUUAACAUAUACAGCCACAGCACAACCUGCUAUGACUGCUCAGUGACUGCUCAAAAUCAAGAGUUGUGUAUUUGUUUCAGAAACAUCUUUCCUGACACUGAUUUCUUUAUGGAAGGCAUCGGUCGGGAAUCAUAAAACAGGUUGGAAUAUUACUGAAAGCAUUCUUGUUUAAAAAAAGUCAUGUCAGCAAUGUGCCACAGUUCUAAUUACUGCAGAGAAAUUAGCAAAUAAUUAUAUGCAAAUAAAUGAAGCUAAUCAAAGCUAUUAGCACAUUCUGCUAGUCAAUCAUUUAAAUUACUUUAGGCUAUGGUACAGCAUUGGUAUGGAAGAAUCAGCUUAAAAGGAAAAAAAUACACAACCACUUUAUUAUGUGAGAGCCCAGCAUUUGUAUAAACAUUUCAAAUGUGGUAUUGAAACAGCUAAUCCAUUCAGCAUUAAAUUGGAUAGGCUCUGGUCACCCAUGUUACCUAUAUUAUGAGAGUGCUUCGGUAUGGAAUGAGUGCUGACAGUCCCAUACAUGCUGUUUUUCAAGCUCUUGUAGAAUUGUGCCCAUUCAGUUAAGAAAAAUUUCUAUGCUGGAUUUUUGCUUCAGGCAGCAUUUGUUACUGCUGCUGUCUGUUUUGAACAUUGCUGCCCAAACAUUUCUAGCACUGCAGAGAGCAAGACUUGGAGAAACAAGUCUUUGACAAAACAUUCUGCUUCUGAGCUGCACUUUUUCUGCCCCGUGAACAUCUGUCCAAAUUUUUCCCAUUUCUAAACACCAGCGGGAGAGAGGAGAGGUUUGUUCUUGUUGGGUGGGGACUUCCAUUUUCUCAGCAUGGUUGCCAAGCAUUCUCCUUCCUCUGGUCCCACUCCAGCUGCCCUGAUGACAGGGAGGGCACUGACCACUGUGUGGCUCAGGGCUGGGGCCGGGACGCACAGCCAGAAUGGACUGCUUUGCAGUGCGAGCCCCUCAAGAGGCAAAGGAAAGAGAAGGAGAGGAAAAGAAUGCCAAGAAGGCUGAAGCUCAUUGAUGGUGGAGGAAAGGAUAUUGGCUCAAAUAGAUUGGGGCUGAGGCCAGAGGGAAAACAGAGGCGGAGGAAGGAAGGAUGUGACUCAUGGCGAGGGAGGGGCAGCAGGAGGGCAGCUGGAGGCAGGAGGUGGGUGAUGAGGACACAACCUGCUGAUGGAUGGGCCCCAGGGGUAGCAGCAUAGGCAGAAGCUGGGCUGGACAGGGUUCAGGGAGUGGUGGGACUGGGGCCAGCUUCAGGAAGCUGAACUAUCUGCAUCUUUCCAGUUUGCUAUUGGAGUCUUGCCCCAGGGAUGCUGGACUGUAAUACAUGGCUGUGACCUGGUGUGGUGUCAGUUCUGCCAACACUCACUACAAAUACUUCCUUAUUUGCUGUCCAGAACUUCAUUCUCUCUGUUCUAGGUUCUUGUGACUGUAGUUAAAGCGAAUGACUGCAAAAAUCAAGAGCAUGUACUUAGAGAGACAACAAAACGUUAGACUUGAAGGGUUUUUCAUGACUGCAUUACCCAUACACACACAUAAUCAGCUAUUAUUUUAAUAUUUCCUCUUUUGUUGUGCUAAUACUAGGAAAUUCCCUUAUUAAUACUUACAAUAUGUGAAGACUAGAAAUUUUCCUCUCUGCUCUGUGUUGGUAAGACUUCACCUGGAGUACUGCAUCCAGAUGUGCAGUCCACAGUACAAGAGAGACACAGACCUGUUGGAGCACAUCCAGAGGAUGGCCACAACAGUGAUCCUGGAGAUGGAACACCUCUCCUAUGAGGACAGACCGAGAGAGCUGGGGCUGUUCAGCCUGGAGAGGAGAAAGUUUCCCCUCUCUUUGUGGAUAUUUGAGAGUGGCCUUUCAAUAUCUAAAGGGGAUCUGUAAGAAAGAAGGGGACAGACUCUUUAGCAGGGUCUGCUGUGACAGAACAAAGGGAAAUGGUUUCAAACUAGAAGAGGGGAGGUUUCGAUUGGAUAUAAGGAAAAAGUUUUCUUAUAACAAGAGUGGCGAGGCAGUGGCAAAAGUUGCCUGGAGAGGUGAUGGAUGCUCUGUCUCUGGAGACAUUCAAGGUCAGGCUGGAUGGGGCUCUGAGCACCUGAUCUAGCUGUAAGUGUCCCUGUUCAUUGCAGGGGACUUGGACUAGAUGGUCUUUAAGGGUCCCUUCCAGCUCAAAUGACUUUACAAUUCUAGGAAAUUAAACACUUUGAAGGAGUGUUCCUAGAUACAGGCACUCAGAGUUCUUCUCUCAACCCAUCUUUAGGCACAUCUAGGGGGUUAGCACAGUCUGGGCUUGGUCCCACCAGACAGAUUAGAUGAGGUGACAUUUUGUCCAAGGGUCAGAUGUGGGGCAUUUCAUGGAAACUGCCCUGUGUCCAGGAACCACAUAGGGCACAUCUGAGUUCAGACAAGCUUUUACAUCUUACUGCAGUCAGCUUGCCAUUUCCCUUUCCUCAUGUUUAGUGGGGAUUUUACUAUUGUGGUUUAACUGUAAUGUAUAUUAAGUUUUAGAAGCAAAGCAAUUCCAUGGGUUGAUUUGACUCAGAUUUCUGUCUAAAGUCAUUGUAAAUAUUGUAAAUAAUUGUGAUGUUCACUUUUAUCUUUGUAGGUUGGGUUGUCCUACCCAUGACUAGAGUCUCAGGAGAGACAUUAUUACUCUCUACAACUUCCUGAAGGGAGGUUGUGAUGGGGUGAGGGUCAGCCUCUUCUCCCAGGUUACAGCAAUAAGUCAAGACAGAAUGGCCUUACAUUGUGCCAGGGGAGGUUCAGGUUGGAUAUUAUGAAAAUUUUCUUCUCAGGAGUGGUGAUGCAUUGGCACAGGCUGCCCAGGGAGGUGGUGAAGUCACUUCCUGGAGGUGUUCAAGGAAUGUGUAGAUGUAGCACUGAGGGACAUGGUUAGUGGCCAUGGUGGGGAUGGGUUGAUGGUUGGACUAGAUGAUCUCAGUGGUCUUUUCCAAACUAAAUGAUUUGAUGAUUCUAUUACUUAGGUCCACACUCCAAAGUUUCUUUUCCAUUUGUUAGUAGGAGCUCUGAAUUCCUGCUUUCAGGCCUCUCGUCACGAGCUCCGUGCUCAAUGAAGCAGCUCCUCCAAGUUUUCAGUGGUCACAACUUCAGGUAUUGAAACAACAAAUGUUGAAUAUUGCUUCUCUGAAUGCAAACAGUCCUCACCUGGGAAAAAAGAAAGACUCCAUUUUACUGUUUACAGAUUAUAAAUGAUAGAGGAGUCACCAUUUUCACAUUCUGCAGAAUCCCCUUGUAUACAUAUCAGAGUGUUUCUAAUAUUGCAGAUAAGGGAUCCCAG
rnacentral:lncRNA from 1 species